UACGAAGGGGGCUAGCGUUGCUCGGAAUCACUGGGCGUAAAGCGCACGUAGGCGGAUUGUUAAGUCAGGGGUGAAAUCCUGGAGCUCAACUCCAGAACUGCCUUUGAUACUGGCGAUCUUGAGUCCGGGAGAGGUGAGUGGAACUGCGAGUGUAGAGGUGAAAUUCGUAGAUAUUCGCAAGAACACCAGUGGCGAAGGCGGCUCACUGGCCCGGUACUGACGCUGAGGCGCGAAAGCGUGGGGAGCAAACAGGG
rnacentral:rRNA from 1 species